UACAGAGGGUGCGAGCGUUAAUCGGAAUUACUGGGCGUAAAGGGUGCGUAGGUGGCUAAAUAAGUUAGGUGUGAAAUUCCUGGGCUCAACUUGGGGACUGCGCCUAAUACUGUUUGACUAGAGUACUGUAGAGGGAAGUGGAAUUUCCGGUGUAGCGGUGAAAUGCGUAGAUAUCGGAAGAAACAUCAGUGGCGAAGGCGAUUUUCUGGACAGAUACUGACACUGAGGCACGAAAGCGUGGGGAGCAAACAGG
rnacentral:rRNA from 1 species